rnacentral:ncRNA from 1 species
AUAAUGAUACUUCCGUCCAGCCACAGCCCUCCCUGAAAGGAGGAUGACGCAAUGGGGGCGGCCGCAGGAGAUCCCUGCGAGGGUGGAAUUCCCAUGA